rnacentral:rRNA from 1 species
UACAGAGGGGGCAAGCGUUGUUCGGAAUUACUGGGCGUAAAGGGCGCGUAGGCGGCCUGUUAAGUCGAACGUGAAAUCCCUGGGCUCAACCCAGGAACUGCGUCCGAUACUGGCAGGCUUGAAUUCGGGAGAGGGAUGCGGAAUUCCAGGUGUAGCGGUGAAAUGCGUAGAUAUCUGGAGGAAUACCGGUGGCGAAGGCGGCAUCCUGAACCGACAUUGACGCUGAUGAGCGAAAGCUAGGGGAGCAAACGGG